rnacentral:rRNA from 1 species
GAUGAACGCUGGCGGCGUGCCUAAUACAUGCAAGUCGAGCGAACAGACGAGGAGCUUGCUCCUCUGACGUUAGCGGCGGACGGGUGAGUAACACGUGGAUAACCUACCUAUAAGACUGGGAUAACUUCGGGAAACCGGAGCUAAUACCGGAUAAUAUAUUGAACCGCAUGGUUCAAUAGUGAAAGACGGUUUUGCUGUCACUUAUAGAUGGAUCCGCGCCGCAUUAGCUAGUUGGUAAGGUAACGGCUUACCAAGGCAACGAUGCGUAGCCGACCUGAGAGGGUGAUCGGCAACACUGGAACUGAGACACGGUCCAGACUCCUACGGGAGGCAGCAGUAGGGAAUCUUCCGCAAUGGGCGAAAGCAUGACGGAGCAACGCCGCGUGAGUGAUGAAGGUCUUCGGAUCGUAAAACUCUGUUAUUAGGGAAGAACAAAUGUGUAAGUAACUAUGCACGUAUUGACGGUACCUAAUCAGAAAGCCACGGCUAACUACGUG